rnacentral:rRNA from 1 species
UACGGAGGUGGCGAGCGUUACUCGGAAUCAUUGGGUGUAAAGGGCAGGUAGGCGGUUUGUUAAGUGAGGGGUGAAAUCUCCCGGCUCAAUCGGGAAACUGCCUUUCAAACUGACAGACUUGAGUGUGAUAGGGGGAAGCGGAAUUAGCAGUGUAAGGGUGAAAUCUGUAGAUAUUGCUAAGAACACCAGCGGCGAAGGCGGCUUCCUGGAUCACAACUGACGCUGAUCUGCGAAAGCUAGGGGAGCAAACAGA